AAAAAGAGGGUUAGAGGGGUGGCUGUGAACCACAAUUGAAGGACACGUAGAUACGUGUGGACUGUGGAAUUAGAAGAUCACAUUCACGUGCUCCACAUUUAUUAUUAUUAUUAUUAUUGUUGUUCAAUCAUUCAUUGUACCCCAUGUGUUUUGCGUGUUCUUGCUAAGACCUGUUGCAUCGUAACGCAGUGGCAUGCAUGCUGUAUAUUAUUGCUGGUGCCAGCAGAAGCUGUCGACAAAAAUUUGAGUGCUUAUUAUAUACAAAGUAACAAAAGAAAUUGAUUGCAACUGCUCCAAAAGUAGAGUCCGAGACAGUUUCAUCCAUCGUUCAUUCGAUUUUGUCGUUCGUAUCAAUCACGUAAAUGAUCGGCAUUUGAAGCUAUCUCAUGUUGGAGCCUGUAUAUAUCCACCAAGUUUUUGUUCUAAAAAGAAAAAGUUCAUUAUCAUCAGAAGAAAGAAUGUUCAAGGAUUCCGAAGUAGAAUGAUUCUUCCAAUUCCAAUAUAUUCACGAUCUCUUCUAUUCUCCCAGGCUUGUGUUUCAAGUUCAAAUUCUACAUAUUAACAUUUUAGGUGAAAUGAUGUCAAAGCUAAUUAAUCGUAAGCUCCCGUCGAUUUUGUCAUAUCGCGGGUUUUACGUAAGUUCAACCCACAAUAAUAUAGUCAUCGUGAUUAUGAUUGUUAUCAAUAUAUAUGCAUUACUAUUUGUUAGAUGAUUUACUAUAGAAGCAAAAAUAUUAAAAGAGAAUAAACUACCAUGACAUUGUUUUAUUAAAGAUAAAUUACCAUUUACCUGAGCUAGACGCGCAAUUCCCAAUUUCUUUAAAAGAAAACGAUAGCAAGCUAUUCUCUUUGUUCAUUCUUUUAGAAAUAAACUUAGCAAUAAAUGUGAAGCAACUAAAUUUUCAAUUUAGAAUCUCGAGUAUCAACCAUCAAGCGCAUAACCAACUACGCUAGCUAGGUAUGAGUUGAUGUGUGAUUCAUAGUAUUGACCCACAAUAUAUGUAAUAAGAAUCUACAAUCACUUAUUUAACAAUUAAUGAACUAGAACUUUUUAUUUACAGGUGAAAAUAUUAGCAUCACCAAUUCCAAUCUUUUUCUAACCAAGAGACAGAUAUAUGUAGAAACUUAAAAAACAAUAUUUUGAUUGGUGUAACUAAUCUGUGCAAUUAAUUGCUAAUUUGCCAACAAAGUUGCCUUGAUAAUUUCGAGAAUUUUUAUCUGACUAAAUCUAGUGGCUUUAUGGCAAUUAAUAUAUUUAUAUGGGAGUGUACGUUUUGUGGACAUUGGGGCUAAGUGAUUAUUGCUAAGACCAUCAUAUUUGCACCCGUUAUUUUGAUCAAAGUCGAAUAUUUAAAAUGAUUUCACCCGAUCAUAUGCAUCAAAUCCAAACAACGUAAAUUUAAUGUGUCCUUAUCUUCUUUUUUUUUUUUUUUUAUCCCUUUUCUCCGCUUCUUUCUGCUUUGACACUUUGGUACUUGUAUUUUGUUGGACCUCUCACUGAUCACCAUCACCAAUUUCCUUAAAAUUUUGAGAGUAUAUAUAUAUAGAGAGAGAGUUAAGCUGAAAUGCUAUCAGUAGUAAAUAAGCUCCGUUGUCAUUCAUUUGUAUUGGAGCCUCCAAAUCGACGAUCAGUACUGUUAAACAUGAUCUUUACUAUUUGAAGUAUUUAGAAACUAAAUUUUAAAUCUUUUCGACAUCAUUGGCCUAAUGAUCAAAGAGUUUCAAAUUUUAUAAUUUUAAUGGUCGAUAUAAAAUAUUUUCUCGUUUAACGACGUAAAGAUAUUCAAAUCAAUUAAAUUUUGGUUAUAAAAUUUUUUACACUAUUUAGAACAAGAUCUAUACUCUUGAUCUUAAUUACAAAACUCUUAUUAUUACUUUUUGAAGGAUAUUCACUUUCUGUCGUUCAUUUUUGUAUCCACUUAAUGGACAAAAGAACAAUAUCGAAAAAACAUAAAAUUUAAUUUCUAGAUGCUUCAAGUGGUAUAUAUCAUGUUCAACGAUACCGAUCGUCGAUUUGGAGGCUCCAUCAUCGAAAAUAAAUAUGUGCUAACGGAGCCCGUUUGCUACCGAUAACAUUCCAGUUCAGCUCUCUCUCUCUCUCUCUCUCUAUAUAUAUUAUAUAUUAUUUCACUAUCAAGUUAUCAUAUGUCGCUGUUGUAAAUUAAAACAACUUCUAUAAGAAAUCACAGCAAGCAUAUAUAAGAACAAACCUAUGUCCCAAUUCAUGGAUAAAACGUAUCGAUAACUCGACUAUCUAUAAGUGUGAUAAUUAAGGAGAAUAUUGGCUUUUGAUAAGAGUAUAAGAAUCAACAAGAUAUUGUUCCAUAAGCAAACUCUCCAAAUUGGUUUUUAGUAGUGCGAUCUUAUACUUGUUGUUGGUGGUUAAUAUUCUUUUGCACCUUUUAUGUAUUCUGAAUAAAAAGAUCAAAUUGGUAGCAUAGGAAUAAUAAAAAUUCCCUAAGGGAAUAUGCCUCCUUUGAUGAUAUAUUCCACACAAGAAGCAUAGGAUAGAGACAUAAAUAAUUAGCAAGUUACAAGUUAAGUUAGUGUAUAGAUCAACAACGAAUUAAUACAAGAAAAGAGUGGAUUAUAUUUUCACUGGAAUAAUACUUUUAAUUUCCUACGAUUGCGAAGCAUGGCUUUUUAAGUUGAUCGUCAUAAGAUGCUGCUUCUUUGGCAACUAUUUCUCCAACGAUGUUUGUUAAUGACGCGCACUUUUGCAACAAAUAGUAAUUAAGAUGCCUAUGGAAUAAGUCAUUAGAGGGCCUAUUUGGCCUGGUGGAGCUUCUGCAGAAAUACUUUUAAAUUAAAAUUGUUGGAAAAGACACUAUUAUUUUUGUUAUUGCUAAAUUUCUUGAUUAGCUUCUCAUGAUAGUAGCAGCAGAAGCAUCAAAUUCUAGUAUUCUAAUUAAAUCUCAAUGGCUUAUUUUUGCACCACCAACUUGUAUAGUUAGAUUAGUUCUUUCUCUUUGUUCUUUGUUCAUUUAUGAUCUUUUUUACUUACCUCGAUCUCGCUUAAACAUUCCAUAUAUGUUAAAUUUUCACAUUUUCCUAGAUUUUUCUCUUUGCAAUUUUUAUUAUAUAUAUCUUUUUGCCAUAUACAAAUGGAGAUAAAUCAAGGUUUAUCAACUACACUAGGUAAUUUAUUUGAUCUUCCACUAGCUAUUGGUGCUAUUUUUUGAGCCUCAAAAAUGAAAGCUUUAAUUCGAUACUUCUAAUUCUACUGUAUAUAUGGAGAUUUAUAGUACUACUUAGAUAGCAUUUUAUGAAAUAGCACUACACUUUAUAGGAACAACACAAUAUAUGUUGAUCUUGACACCUUAACUCCCUCUCUCAUGGGUUGUUUCACCUCAGUUGCACAUUGCUUAUAUGAUUGAUUAUCUUAAUUAAUUCAAUAAGGUACCAUGUGUAUCUUAUUAGACAAGGUUAAUGAUUCGUUGUAAUUAAUCAUCUAGCUAGGGAUUAUCUCAAUUCGAUCAUUUAUAGCUUCAUUGGCCAUUUUCAAGUUUCAUGUGAUAGUUAAGAUUAAUUAAUCCCUGACCUUCUCUCCUCUAUUUUUCUUAUUUAUAUAUUAAACACAAUUUUAUUUACUUAUUAGAGCACACUGCAACAAAAUAUGUUUUAGACAUUGCUUGAUAGAUGCCGCUUUAAUUAUUCAAGCGCCUUCAAUAUUUGACAUGUGCAGACACUAUGAUGAAGCGUCACUAAUAAAUAUAUUCUUAUCAAAUACUAAUAAAAUUUUUUUGAACCGACCGUCCCUAGUGCAAGUGGCAAAAAGGCUGGGUGGUUGGUAUCCGAAACCCAAGUUCGAAUGCUAGUUGAUUCACAUGUCUAGCUAAAUUUAUUUCUAAAUGAAAUAAACGAAGCGGGUAGCAUGCUACUUUUCUCUCAAAAAAAAUAAUAAUAAAAUUUUUUUGAUAAACAUAUUCUUAUCAAAUACUAAUAAAAUUUUUUCGAUGUUAUAUUAAAGCAUCGGUAUAUUUAUUCCGACAAACUUACUUAAUGACCCUUUGCUCGACGCUUUUACAAGAGUCGGAAUUAUUUUUGCUGACGUUUUAAAGUGCCGCUAGUUAUUGUUUAAAGUGUCCUUAAAUGCAAGAUUUGUUGUUUUCGGUAUGAAAAUACUUUUUCUUUGUUUGGUUUGACAUAAAAACAUUUUUACGGAUUUGGAGAAAAAUUGAAGUUUUUGAUUUUUUGUUGUUUUUUGACGGAAAACUAAAACUCAAAUUGCAUAAAAUUUUUUUCAUUUAUUUUUUCCAUCUAAUCAAAUAAAUGUAAAUUUUUUUCUUUCAACCAAGAAAAAAUGUUGAUAGAAAACUAUUUUUUUUUCUACAAAACAAACAUUACCAAAACAUAAAAUUCUUUUUUCACAAAUUUGUUUUUUUAUAAAUUUUUUUCUUUACCAUUUUAACACCCUAAGCUCCAAUGACCCACAAAAGCAAAGGACCAAAAGAAAAAAAAGAAAAAGAAAAAAAGAAAAAGAAAAAAAGCUGUAAAUAAGAGGGGGCAAAAAAAAAAUGACAAAUUAUAAUACGCAACUUGAUUGAAAGGGCCCAACCUUAAAAUUCGUACAAAACACGCGCGCAUUCCCACUCACACAACAACAUACCCAAAAUGUACCAGAACCCUUCCCCUGCUUAACAUAUUUUGAUCAAAACUGUACACCGAGUCUAAAUUGCGAGGACGAGCCCCGGCAACGACCGGCUGGUCUGUGCACGUGCCUGGCUCUGCCAAACGGCGUCUCCGUCUCCGCAUCCAACGUCGGCGGCGGUGGCGGCGGCCCGACCAACUUCUCUGACGGUAACCGACGUGUUAAAAUACUCGCGAAACCGCGUGAUGACUCCGCCCUCGACGGCCCAGGCGUGGACCCAAUACGCCUGCUCGCCUUCCCACCCUUCCGCGACAACCCACCCUAGCCCCGCCCCCUCGCCCACCUCCGCGAUCCGCCGCGGCACAAACCGGAACUCGUCCACCGCCUCCCCCGUCAGCAGCCGCCGCAUGUGCUGGCACCGCCGGGGCCCGUGGAACCACCAGUCCACGUCCCGCGCCAGCAGUGCCGCCGCCGCCUCCGUGUCCCCCCGCGCCAGUGAAUCGUAUAACAACUCCACCAGCUUCUUGUUAUGCUGUGCCAUAUCCUGCUAACUCUUCGUCUAUAUAUGUGUGUGGUGUGCACAAAGUGUAUGGACGUAGUUAUUUAUAGCCAUUUUGAACUUGGGGGUGGACCCAAAUUCCAAAAACACAGAAUUGAUUAAUGUAUGUACUUAAUUAUUAUUUUUAUUAUUUUGGAUUAGUUUAAAGGCAUAGUGAGGAGCUCCCCAGGGGAGUGAGUGAGUGAGGGAGGGAGUUUGGUGUGACCUGGGAGUAAGAAAUUCUGAAAUGACAGAUUUGCCCCUGGGAAAAAGCAGUUAAUUAAUUAAUGCUUCUAUGCUACAAUUGGUAGGUAUUAAAGGGCACUUUUUGUGGGCUCCAAUAUUGACAUAUAUAUAUAUAUAUAUAUAUAGAGAAAGAAAGAGCUGUACUUUUUGCUUUUAAAAUACUAGAGUAUUUGUGCUUGUGAUUUUUUAGUCUAUCAGAUCGCUUUAAGAUUCAUAUAGUAUUAUUAAUAAUGUGUUCCAUUAGAUUUCUUUUACUAGCACUGUACGAAUAUUAGAGUGAUCUCACGUUUAAAAGAUCACAAGCAUAUUGAUUUUGAAAGCAUAGAACCUCAAAACUCUCUCUAUAUUUUCCUACUUGUUUGUCCUCUUGACGUUCAUGUGUAAUCCGUUGUCGGAGACCUAAUUAAUAAAAAUAACAAUAAAGUAAUUAUUUUAAUUAAAUAAAAUGUUAUUAAUUUUUAGAGUAGUUGUUUGACAUAUUUUACUGAAAUUCUAAAAAUCAUGUAUUUGAUUACAGAAUCCUCCAUUUAAAAAUCUGAAGUCAUAGGAGAGCUAUAAAAACUUACUUUUCCAUAUGGAAGUAGGAGAUUAGAAGAUUUAAUUAAUCUUAAUCUUAUCCCCUUAUGUUGUAUUAAAUUAUUAAUUAAUUAUUGAAAGAGGAGGUUAUUUUGGUAAUUUUAGUGAUGCCAGGCUAGCAUAUCCCUUCGACUGGUUUCUUGGUGUCUUAUAAUGGGGAUAUAUAUAUAUUGGUGGCCACCUCUUUAAUCCCACAUCGCUUUCUCCGACCAAACGAACAAAGAGUAUCUUCGAGCAAUUUAAACAUUUGUUUUCUUUUUUUUCCCUUUCCUUUACGAAAAGGUAUCGGAUUUUGUUUUCCAUUUGGAUGUUAUUGGUAAUGAUCAUCGCGACCUAGUGGAUUAAUUCUUUUUUUUUAACGUGAUAUGAUGUUUUUAGCAUGGAUAUGUUAAUUGGUAUAAAGAGGAGGAUUAUUACAAUGGGUUAGGGUUCUGAAGAGCGCGACUUCAUCGAGAAGUUUCUCAAUAAAAUUUUGUUGAAACAGUUUGAUGAAUCGUGUAAUUUAUUCUGUGUUUGAAUUUUAUGAGUUUGCUACACUCGGAAGUUUUACAAGGGACUCAGUAAGGAGUGUCAAACGCAUCUCAUUUAAAUUUUUAUUUUUAUUUUUUCAGUUUUGAUAUAAAUGUGUGACCAAAUGUUGAAAGGCAUGUUCAAAGCGCAUGUGACGAUACACCAGAUACAUUUUAUCUUUGACGCACAUUUUAGAGUCUGCUGUAAACCGGGCACAUCCAAAAUGUUCAAAGGCAUGUGACGAUACCCGUAUUGAGAACUCUCAAUAAGUGAGAUGGCUUCAUGAGAGAUCAAUUUAGUGAUGCGAUAGUAUUGUCAAAUAAUAUAUCUAUUAGUGCAGGCCCUACACUUCAUAGCGAAUAGAUAGUAUUUUAGCCAAUUAAAAUAUAUAGUUAUUAAAAUUUUAAAAUUAAAUUAUAACUAAAUAAAAAAAUUUAUAAAUUAAUAGUCUUAUUUACAUUACAAAAAAUACCCUUUUAUUUAUAUUAUCUUAACUUUCAAUACCUGAAAUGUUAAAUUAUUCUAACAACUUUACUUAAAAGUUUAAUCAAAUGCAAUAUUUUUGGAAACUAUUUUAUAAAUAAUUUUUUGAACUAAAAAGUUAAAACUGGAGAACUUAUUUUAAAUUGCCAAAAAGGCGAAAAUGUUUUUAUCUUGUUAAAAUUGAUUGAAAAAAGAAAAAAAUUUUACAUGCACAUAAUAUAUAUUAACAUCAUAUACACUGCAACUUAUAUUAGAUGAUAAAUAUUUUGAUAUCAAAACUUAAUUAAAUAUAUAUAUGACCUACGUACAAAGUUAAUAAUUUAAAUUCUAUUUAAUAAACUAGAUUUUAAAAUUUUUAUUAAAAGGUUUUAAGUAUGUGAAUAAUAUAUUAUAUAUAUAUAUAUAUAUAUAUACUAUAUAAUUAUAUAUAUAUAUAUAAUAUAUAUUAUAUAUAAAUAUAUAUAUUCCUGUGCUAUAAACCGGUGCAAAGCUACUUUAAUAAUGCAACUCAUAGUUUCAUAGAGAGAUAUAAAUAUGUUCCUUAUGCAGGCUGUAUUAUAAACUAUGCGAUUUCAUAUACCAUAGAGUAUAUAAAAUAAUUAAUAAAAUAUUUAAUAAUUAGUAGUGUAAAAUAAAAUAUAAUAUAAAAUAUUUAAAUAAUUUAUUAUAAAAUAUAAAUUUAUGUUUGAUAUAUAUUUUAGAAUUAAUUUACUGUGCAAUUAAAGUAGGAGUGUAGGACCCCAAUUGGUGUGGCACACUUAACCACUUACAUAUACAAUUAAUCCUAGUCGUCUUGUAAAUCUAGAUUUAUUCAUCCUACAAAACGAAGUAGCUCUCUCUCUCUCUACAUAUAUAAUAGUACCCUCAUAUGUAUAGAGAGAGAGAGCUAGGUGGUAUACUAUCGAUAGCACGGAGGCCUCCGUGCUACCAAGCUGUUUUCGAUGAUGCGGCUUCCAAAUUGACGAUUGGCUCCGUUAGACUUGAUCUACACUAUUGAAAGCAUUUGGAAACUAAAUUUCAUACUUUUUCGACAUCAUUUAUCUAUCAAACGAGUAGCCUAAAAAUGAACAGUUGACAAUAAAAAUCUCAUGAAAAAUGAUUAUAAAAGACUUGAAUUUAAGAUCAGAGAUACUGAUCUUACUCUAAAUAGUGAAAAGAAUUUUCUAUAAAAAUUUCAUCAGAUUUGGAUUGUUUUACACCGUUAAAUUCACAAACGUAUCAUAUCUACCAUUAAAAUUGUCAAUUUUGAAACCUUUUGAUCACUAGCUAAACGAUAUCAAAAAAUUAUGAAAUUUAAUUUUCAAAUACUUUUAAUAGUAUAGAUCGAGUCUAACAGAGCUGGUCGUCGAUUUGGAAGCCGCAUCAUUGAAAACAACUUGGUAGCAUGGAGGCCUCCGUGUUAUCGAUAGUAUACCAGCCUAGCUCUAUAUAUAUAUAUAUAUAUAUAUAUAUAUAUAUAUAUAUAUAUAUAUGUAGUGCUGAUAUAAUUAAUAGGGAUAAUUGCCUAUAUACCUCUUAUACGUUUGAAAAUAUCCGAUUUCCUCUACUUUUUUUUUUUCUUUAUAAAAUACUCAUCAUAUGUUCCACCGUUAUUACAAAAUACCCCCGCAGUUAUCUCCUAUUAAGUUAAUUUGAGUUAAACGUCAGUUAAAUAUCUACCACAGUUAAAAAAAAUUAAAAUGCCAAUUUUGUUCUUAACUUAAGGGCAAAUAAUAAAUGUUGGUGACGGUAGAGGAGUAUAUUGGAAAAGACCAAAAGUCAAAAUACUUUUUGUGCCCCUAACUUUAAGGGCAAAUAAGAAAGUCAGUGAUGGUGGAAGGAUAUAUUUGAAAGGGCAAAAUAGUAAUUUUACAGAGAUAAUUAACAGAGUUCAUUAACAGAUUUUAACUAGGGGUAUAUUAGAAAUAGGUUGGAACGUAGAAAGGGUAUUUUCAAUAUUAGCCUUCUAAGAGAGGUAAAUCAGAAAGUCGAAAACUAUAUAUAAGCAAUUGCCCCUAAUUAAUAUAUGGCUU
rnacentral:lncRNA from 1 species